UGCUGGCCUGGCUCGUUGGCAGGGCAGGCAGACUUUGUUGUGGUUCUGGGAGCAGCUGGCCUGGCAGGCUGACCUGGCCUUGCUCACAAAGAGGCCCACUCCUGGGGGACCCGUGUUCACCACCACUGGUUCCUGGCGCUUCCUCAGAUCGGAGGCCUGCUUAGGGCCAGACCGCUGCACUGGUAGGAACCCCAGGCUUGGCAAAAAAGUAGCCUAGCUGGGCCGGUGGCCACUGGCCUCUGGAAAGUGGAGGGGCCUGAGCAGGGCCUUGGUUUCCUAGUCUAUAAAAUGGGAAUGGCCGCCCAGAAAAGAAAGGCGGUCAUCCAUUGUCCCCGGGGAUUCCCACAGUGGAAGAUGCACCCACAGAAGAGAACAAUGAAGAUGGACAGAUACGUUUCCAAGGAGACCAGGUCUAAGCCUCACUGUGCUGCAAGGAGCUGGGAUGGUGCCGCCUGGGAAAGGGAGAAAAGGACUCCAGGUCACUGGCGCCUUCUGUUCCCACAGAACCUGACCCCUUGGCAUUUUCAGAGUGGAACUGAAGCCCCCAAUCUUCCUGCCGGGAGUGCGUGGGUCCCAGCCCAGUGGAGACUUCACACGGGUUCAUUAAACUCCCAAAUAACAGGCUC